AGAAGUCCAUCCCUCUCCACA
rnacentral:misc_RNA from 1 species